ACGACCUUACUUGAACAGGAUCUGUUCUAUAGGCUCGUACCUCUGUAUCCUUGAUUUCUAAGGAGAUAGGAAACCAAGUUUGGUGGAUGAACCUUGGCUUGCUUGACCUGAGCGUGAUUGACAGCACCCAUGGCUUGAUCCUUGAGCUGUUGGUGUAGUAGAUGAUCGUUCUUGGCUCGCUUGUUGCGGACAAAGAUGGUCUUUCAGCUGUCUGACAAACU